AUCGGCCACACUGGAACUGAGACACGGUCCAGACUCCUACGGGAGGCAGCAGUGGGGAAUAUUGCGCAAUGGGGGAAACCCUGACGCAGCAACGCCGCGUGAGUGAUGAAGGCCUUCGAGUCGUAAAACUCUGUCUUUGGGGACGAAUAAUGACGGUACCCAAGGAGGAAGCCCCGGCUAACUACGUGCCAGCAGCCGCGGUAAUACGUAGGGGGCAAGCGUUGUCCGGAAUCACUGGGCGUAAAGGGCGCGUAGGCGGUUUGUUAAGUCAGGUGUGAAAGUUUUCAGCUUAACUGGAAAAGUGCACUUGAAACUAACUUACUUGAGUACUGGAGAGGUAAGCGGAAUUCCUAGUGUAGCGGUGAAAUGCGUAGAUAUUAGGAAGAACACCGGUGGCGAAGGCGGCUUACUGGACAGAGACUGACGCUGAGGCGCGAAAGCGUGGGGAGCGAACAGGAUUAGAUACCCUGGUAGUCCACGCCGUAAACGAUGAGUAUUAGGUGUUGCCGAGAGGCAGUGCCGCAGUUAACACAAUAAAUACUCCGCCUGGGGAGUACGGUCGCAAGACUGAAACUCAAAGGAAUUGACGGGACCCCGCACAAGUAGCGGAGCAUGUGGUUUAAUUCGAAGCAACGCGAAGAACCUUACCAGGUCUUGACAUCCUCUGGCGACGCUAGAGAUAGCGUUUUCCUUUCGGGGACAGAGAGACAGGUGGUGCAUGGUUGUCGUCAGCUCGUGUCGUGAGAUGUUGGGUUAAGUCCCGCAACGAGCGCAACCCUUGUGUUUAGUUGCCAGCGGUAAGGCCGGGCACUCUAAACAGACUGCCGUAGAUAAUACGGAGGAAGGUGGGGAUGACGUCAAAUCAUCAUGCCCCUUAUGACCUGGGCUACACACGUGCUACAAUGGGAUGUACAGAGGGUAGCGAAAUAGUGAUAUGGAGCCAAUCUCAAAAAACAUCUCUCAGUUCGGAUUGCAGGCUGCAACUCGCCUGCAUGAAGUCGGAGUUACUAGUAAUCGCAAAUCAGAAUGUUGCGGUGAAUGCGUUCCCGGGGUUUGUACACACCGCCCGUCACACCACGAAAGUCGGCAACACCCGAAGUCAGUGAGCUAACCAAACGGAAGCAGCUGCCUAAGGUGGGGUUGAUGAUUGGGGUGAAG
rnacentral:rRNA from 1 species